rnacentral:rRNA from 1 species
GAUGAACGCUGGCGGCGUGCUUAAUACAUGCAAGUCGAACGAAAAGACGCGGAGCUUGCUGGGCUGUCGAUAGGCGCGGGGGGGAGUGAAACACGUGGAUAACGUACCUAUCAGUCUGGGAAAAUUUCGGGAAAGCGGAGCAUAUAGCGUAUAAGAUACUGAUGCGCAUGGGUGAUUAGAGAGAGACGGCUGUGGGGUAUGGAAUAGCUGGAUCUGCGCCGCAUUAGCUGGUUGGUAAGGUAACGGCUUAUUACGGCAACGAGGCGUAGCCGACCGGUGAGGCUGAUCGGCCACACUGGAAGUGAGACACGGUCCAGACUCCUACGGGAGGGAGCAGUCGGGAAUCGGCCGCAGUAGGCGAAAGCCUGACGCAACGGCGGCGCGUGAGUGAUGGAAGUCUUCGGAGCGUAAAACUCUGUUACUAGGGAAGAACAAAUUUGUAAGUAACUAAACACGGCUUGACGGUACCUAAUCAGAAAGCCACGGCUAACUACGUG